rnacentral:lncRNA from 1 species
AUGGGGCUGUAUUUGGAGACAAGGCCUUUACACAGACGCAGGGAGAAGACAAGCCGUCUGCGAGCCAAGGAGAGAGGCCUCGGCGGAAACCAACCCUGCAGCACUUUCAUCUUGAACUUCUGGCCUCCAGAACUGCGAGAAAAUACAUUGACGUUAUAUAGGGCUCCCAGCUGGUGGUACUUUGUUAUGACAGCCCUAACACAUGAAUGCAGCCAUCCGCAUUGUAUGAAGAAUGCACGCAUAUCCCACAGCACCCUUGCUCUGUCUCACCUCGUAUUGCAAAAGCUCACACGUCUCUCCCGAGUCGCUGGAGCGUCGUCCCACCUACAUCUCUCUUCUUGGCGGGGACUGGCCUGCCGCCCAUGAUGCUUCUGGGCCCUCUGCUCCAGCACUGUUCCCUUCCUUCUGUAAUACAGACAAUAGAGAGAGGAGACGGCCUGGCCCCACUUCCUCAUUUCUGUUCCCUGGAAAAUAAGCAUUGCAAGUGAUCCAUAGAACAAUAGACAUCAUCCACUUUCCAAGCAUCUCUGGUUGAGUGAUCUUCUACACAUGCACGUGGGAGGCCCCAGGGAGCCCAGUAGAAAUGAAAAGCCUGGGCGAACACGGAAUUAUGCCACACAGUGAAUGUACUACUAAAGCCACUCGGCCUGGCUGGCAGUGGUUGGAAGCCUUACUGGCUUGAGGUUUCUGAGUAAGCUCUGACCCAGUCAUUGACUGUUAAACUUCAGAGGUCCUUGGAGACCUCUUAGGAGACUUUGAAGGAACUUAGCAUAGAUACAGAUAGCUGCUGACUGCAGGGAGAUAGGGAGAUAUGUUUUGUAAACGUGUCCAGGCAACUUUUUUGCCUACGGAAACAGACAAAGCUGAAAACAAACAAAUGAAAAAACCUCUCAGAACAAUACAGAAUCCAGAGUCAACUACAACACAUUUCCUGAAGUGGCGUGAGCCUGUAAUCCCAGCACUUUGGGAGGCCGAGGCGGGUGGAUCGCUUGAGGUCAGGAGUUCGAGACCAGCCUGGCCAACAUGAUAAAAGCCCAGUCUCUACUAAAAAUUCAAAAAUUAGUUGUGCAUCGUGGCAUGCGCCUGUAGUCCCAGCUACUCAGGAGGCUGAGAUGGGAGAAUCGCUUGAGCCCAGGAGGUGGAGGUUGCAGUGAGCCGAGAUCAUGCCAUUGCACUGCAGGCUGGGCAAGACCCUUUCCAAAAAAAAAAAAAAAAAAAAGUAUCCCUGAACAUUAUCAGAGUCAAGUUAAUAAAGGCCAAAGGUAGAGAAAAUCUUGAAAGUAC